UCUGCCGACAAGAAACAAAAACCUUCCCCCAGUAUCUUCAAUAUCUGCCCAUUCGUACGUGCCAUAUCGUGUACGUGUCACCGAGAGCAGGGAGGGCAAGCAAGAAUUUGGGAGCGCGUAUCGAGUGCUAUUUUAAGGCCACACAUCCCGCGUCCCGUGCGCGGGCAUGGCACGCAUGGUAAGAGUGAGCGCCACCGGCUAGCAGCAAGCAUCUAAGGCCUGAUGAUCGCUAUCUGAGCAAUUCAGUUCUAACCGCAAUGCCCGGGACGUUGGGGCCCACGAGUGUACCCCAUGCAAAUGCUGUGCCGAAAGAUGGAGCAUACCUUAAAUUCAGACCCGCGCGGAUUGCAUUGCUGAGUAUUUCGUAGAAUUUUGAAAACGCAUUCUACAAUUUGUUGGAUGGGUGACGAUUCGGAUCGAUCGGUAUCUUUGGGUCGAAUGCAUUGAGAAGAGGUGGCAUAUGACAUUUAAAAAAGGCAAAAAUGAAUGUUUUUAGGAGCAGAGUCAAGGGGUACAUAUUCAAGAAGCUCUUUAUACACACAAACAACUAAUCAACGCGAUGGACUAAAUAUCAACCAUGUCCUCCCGAAAGAGCCAAUGCGCCCAGAAAUAGAACCUCGGCUGAAUCACAGAACAUGCUCUUCCGAGCAUCCAUCCAACAAUAAUUGAUAGUCGACCGUCUACAGCAGAUACAGAUAUAGAUACAGCUUCAGCUAACGCUAAAAACAAAAGAAGUCGAAUAAAGAGAACAGAACAGCAUCUUUUAUUACAACA